AGCCCAGAGGGAAGGAGCCCAGAGGAAACACUGCACUUUGGAGUCCAGAGGAAAGAUGAGUAAUCCAAUUCCAAAACAAACCAACCAAUCAGCAGAAAAUCAGAAUGUUGAAAGUGACAUAUUCCAACUGAUGACAAAAGCCUGCAGGAUCAGAAACUUUUGGUCCCAUGUGCAAUAUGCAGUGUUCAUGGCUUCCUACCUGGAGAAAGUUAAGUUUUAUUGUGUUCAAGGAGGUUGAGAGUAUAUAUUUGAUGUCCCAAGAUUGAGGAAGUGGUCCAGCAGGAAGACUGCAUUGAGUUACCAACUUGGGUGAAAAAGAUCAAGGUGAAGAUUUUAUUCCACAAAGUAUAAGGGGCCAGUAGGUCUUUACAGAAUAGAUAGGCUCAGGCCCAAGUAUGGUGGAUUAAGACUGACCUGAGAGAACACGAUAUCAGCACAUCCAUUGAUGGGAAGGAAGGACGUUGACCCAAUAGGCCAUUGGCUUUGUGGAACAACAGUCUUGAAAACCCUUGGAGAAGAUAGGUGCAGCCAACUCUGGAGGACUGCCUGAAAGGGAGCAGAGCCUGUAGAGGAGGCAUGGAGCCUCUGGAUGAAGGGCCGGUGCAACAUUCAGAGUUCAGUAUUGAUCGUGUUUGUGAUUUAAACACUCAGAGACCAAGGAAUUGACCACUUUGAUGUGGAUUGAUGGUUUCCUGAUGCUUUAUGACAGGUGUGGCCCAGGGACCUCUCCCCCAAGCCUGGGAGAAUCAUCCUCUGCUGUUAAACAGCUCAAUCAUUUCUCAUCCCUGGCAUCCUCACUGGUCCAUUGGCUCCUCCCUUCCUCCCCUCUUACCUACAAGUGCUGACCCUUCCUGGGCUGCUGCCAAACAUGACCCUGGAUACUGUGAGUCUCAGGCUGCUGGGCUACCAGGAUCAGAAUCAAGAAGGGAAAAGGAUCAAAAUUUAUAGAGUAUCUUUUAGAGUACUAGCAUGGUCAUUUCAUUACCAACUUUGCAAAAUAGGUAUCAUUGAUCCCAUUUUAUAGACGAAUAAGUUGAGUCUGAUGGAUAACUUGCUAUGUGAGGGACCCAAGCCUGCUAAUUCUACACUUUUGCACACUCUCACUUUAUUGCCUACAGAAGAGCUCAGAAGGAGAGGGAGGGAGAGGGGGACGGGAAGUAGAACUGUCCCUGGGGUAGAAAUAAAUUGGAGUGCUGGACAUGUGCAUUAGGAGCCUACUAGGCUGUAUUGCAGAUGACUCAGUAUGCAAUGGGCAGGAAGGAGGGGUGAAGAGAGGAGUAGGCAGUUUUCUCCAAAGCUGCUUUACAACAACAUCCCUGAGUGUGAACAUAAGUGAGUCUACAUGUCUAUCUCUGCCUCUUCUACACAUACCUUUGCAGGUUGCUGUGUGGAGUUUUUUGGUGCCUUCUUUUCUAAUUUAACUUGAUUUCCUUGAGGAUGGCAGAGCUGGACAUGUUCAGGAAACCUCAGAAAAAGAGCUGUAUGUCACUAAGUCAGGAAGAGGGCCCAGAGGUCAGGGUUUCUCAUCUGGGGCCAUCAAUACCGGCCUCCUUCUAGCUCUGUCAGACACUUGGCCCCUUCUGGGUACUCUGGCAGAGUUUGGUACCAUUCUCUCACACUGAAGAGAGACCCUCAUAGGUAGAGGCAUUGCAAGCUGCAGGCUGUGGCUCACAUUGCAAUGUAGCUGUAUCAGCCAUGAUUUUUAGUUACAGGCAUCAGCCAACUCUGGCUGACUGAAGCCGAAGAGAGUUUGAUGCAAAGAACACUGGGUGGCUGGAGAAUCAGUAGGAAUGCUGACAGUAAGGCUGGAGAAUAAGCAGCCUGGAGCAGCACCGAGAAUCACAUGGUGGAAGGAGUCUGGAGAAACUUCUACUGCUUCAGCCAUUGAAUGUUGGGCACUAUCAUUGGCAUCACAGUCACCUCUGUGCACAAACUUGAACCUGCAGUAGGGAGAGAGAGAACUCCACCCUUCCUGUGUCUAGCUCCAGAGUCAAAACCCAGGGUGGCACAUGGUGGAUGGAUCCUGUGUACAGCCUGUGCCUGGCUGCAAAGGCUGCUGGGAAAGCCAGUUGCUGCAUUUUUGGCAUCUACAGUGGGAAGCAGCCACUGAAGACAAUGAAGACUCAUGAAGUGGGAACUUCUCAAUGAAAAAGGAGUUCAAAUAUUGGGUGGCCAAAUAAAAUGAUAAAUAUUCACUAUCAUUGCCUUAGUUGAGAAUCGAGAAGCUGGGGGCAGUGUGAGGGUACUGAUGGCAACAUUCUCUAACAGGUAUUGAGUGAUUAUUCUCUGGGCUAACUAUUCUAAAUGCAGUAUCUCAUUUAAUCCUUCCGACAAAUCUCCCAGGCAAUUACUAAUAUUGUACCUAUUUUCCAAAGGAGACAACUGGAUUGUAGACAUGACUGUGGCACAUACCUAGUAGGUGUCUGAGCUGAGGUUCUGGCGUAGGCAGUCUGUCUUCUGAGACUGUGCUCACAUUUUCAUGAUUGAGGGCUGGUGAGGAACUCUAGGGGUAUUUCUUUAAGUUAAAGCAUUAAAACCAGCUGUCCCUAGUGCUCAUCAUUCCAAUUAUGCCACAUUAACUCCAGUCUUUUAAAAAUCCCGUCUCAAGGUACUUCUAGGAGUCUCCAAGAUGGCUUGUGUGAACACGUGUCAGACCAGGUUAUUGGAGGCCACCGUGCUGUCACCUUCCUCUGCCAAGUCCAGGCCCACUGUGGGGACCGCUGUCCAGGCUUAGAAACUCCGGUAUGAACACUGGUGGGCGGGCACUCUCCCGUAGCUGCCCUUGGCCACAAUGGAGAUCUCCCCUGGCCCUCUCCCAGACUGAGUCACCUGUACUACACAGUUUGCCCUGUUUGACACAACUGCCAGCCAAACCUGAGAUCCUCCUGGGUCACUGGCCAUGCCCAGGAGAGGCCUCGAGGAGCCAAUCUUUGCAGCCCAGCCACAGAUGCUCUUGGCCAUCAAGGAGCUUUACUGAGCCCUGUCAGGGGACAGGAGGAUUCACUUCCCUCAGCUCCCCUCUGUGAGACACCUAUAGUAAGGCUACAGAUUUCAAAGGGACGCCAAAUUUGGUUGUUUCCACCAGCGAAACCCAUUUUUGCCCUAGGGCCCACAUAGAUCAUCAGCAUAGUGAUGUCAGCAGCACCCUUCAGGCCCAGGGGCAGAAAACUGCUGGUUGUGACAUCCUUCCUCUUCUCCUCCCCUUUAAAGACCCUGCCUUCCUUUUUCAUAAUUGGCUCAAAUCACUCUCCUCCCACUCUGAUCUCACAUUCAUUAAUUCAUCUGGUCAACAUCAAAUAUUCAUUAUGCACCAAUUAUCUGUAAAACGGGGAUAGGAAUAAUGAUAUUUCAUUGUCUUGGUUUCGGUCUUCGUGCAAGCAGACUUGAGACAAGGGCUUGGUUGCAGGCUUUUUAUUCGGGAGGUGAUCCCAGGAAGCAGGAGUGAGGGAGCAGGAAGAUUGAGCAGGGAAGGAGGAAAACAGUAACCUAAGGGUGUGCUAUUGGUUACUGCUGCUGGCAGUGGGAGCCCAAGUGCAUUGGCACAUCUGAGAAGCACACAGAAGCAUCCCAGGAUUGUCCUCCUGAAGGAAGGGAGGCAAGAGCAUUUAUCCAUAGCUCCUAGCCCCCUUGGUAGAUAGUUGCCUUGGGACAGGGAGUGAGAGGUUGGGGGUUACCUGCCCUGACCUUUAGAGGGCUGAGCUGAUUUCUGCAGCUUUAGCAAGUCUUUAAGGCAGAGAGGAGCAAGCCAUGGGCACAUGCCUAAGUGGCACUGUCCAAGGAAGAAGCUCCUCCUUGCAGUUGGACUGAAGUCAAGAGUGGGAUGAGGGGCCGUGAUACAGCACGGAAAACAUACACUACACUUUCUCAUGAAGUAGUUACCAUUAACUGAGUUAAUUUAUGUAAAACACCUAGAACAAUACCUGCCCCCAAUAAGGCUAUAUGUGUGUGUUUGCUGCUAUUAUUUGUGUGACUAUUACAUGUGCCUGGUGCUUCUCCAGGCUCUGUAGGUAACACUCUCAUGAGACUUACUUUCAGCUCACAAAACAUGCCUUGUUUAUGUGUCAAAGCUCUGAUUCUUGAUACUGUCCAAGUUCUUUUGCCAGGAGAUUCUCAGCCCCCAUGUUUGGGGAUGGCCAGGGGACAUGGCCCCACUUGACUGCCUGCCUUGCCAGUAUCUCUGAUCCAUUUUGGAGGCCUGCCCUGCCAUGCUCUGCUUCCCAGGAUCCUGAACAAGGAUUUGAGAACUAAGGUUUGAAUUCUGCAUAUGAAACAGUCAAACUCAAGUUGUCCAUCUGCUGGGAAAAGAAAAUAGCUUCAGAGCAAAGUCACUUGCCUUUUAAUAAUUGAUGGAUAAAAGAUUGCAGCAUGUGCAAAAACACACUUUCCAGAUCUGCCACUAAGAACGGUUCGGGCAGAAGAAACUGCUCUUUCCAUUGCCCCAGAGGCCAGGCCUGCCCUCAGCUAAUCUGGUGACCUAAUCCUUUCACAUGGGGGAGGACCAGAGCAUUUGCAUACAAGCAAUGAAUGCAUCUUUCCACCAGAGGCUUCCAGAGGCAAGUCCAAUCUAGUUAGUGCUUAUCUGUCCAAGCUGGCUGACCUUCUCCCAGUGCACAGUCCAGUCCCAAGUCCUCCCACCCCUGCCUUGUUCCCAGAACGAGUCUUGACUAUUCUAGCCUCAUACCUCGUCCCUAAGUUGCAACACUUGAUAUGGCUCCUUGAGGACUGCCUUGGCCAUCUCCUUGUUGCCGCUCCCACUGACUGCUUGGGUUUCAGCAGUUCACGGCUUCACGAGGCAACCCCUCCCUCUUGGUUCUAUGAUAACAUAACCGGUCACAGGCCUUUUGCCCAGCCCAGGCACUGAGGGACUGGGACCUGCCCUGGCCCCAUCUUGGCUUUCACAAAUGGGAGCUGGUGAGGUCUCACCCAGGUGAAACCCGGAAUUCACUUUCCUUUCAAAUGUUAAUAUGUUGCUGUGAAAACAUGCCUUUAUCAGUCCAGAAUCCUGUGUCUGUAAUCUCAAUAUCUAAAAGCUCUGAAAGCCAAAAGUUGGUUAUAAUCUGCAUGGUAGCAAAAUCUAACAGGGUUAAUUUCAUUUUCCAGAAUUAUCUGACCUGCACUAAGUGGAGGCUAUCUAUUGCCUUUAUUGAUCUCAUUUGGUGUGAAUACGCAUACAUGCUGCUGGAGAAAUAUUAAUGUCAUUGAUUACGAGGUGUCCCAGAGCUCACUGGGGUGUUGAUGUAUGAAGUGGUAUGUGCACCAAACUGCCUUUCUAAAAUACAUUCUGAAUUCUGAAACAUACCUGGCCCCAAGAUUUUGGAUGAGGAAUUUAGGCCUGUAUUAAAAUUAACCCAGGGAGGGUUAGGGCCUGGGAGAAGUGACCAUGAGUGGCCAUUGUUAUCUAAAGCUAAUGCAGGGAGCCAGGGGCAGCAGUGGCCUGAGUUAAAUAUCACUGGAUCCUUUAGUAUAAUUACAGAGUCAGGACUUAAGGAGAGUCAUUGACAUCCCUUUCAUCAAAAAGAAAAGAAAGAAUUGCUCCCUGUAAUCCAUACCCAUUAAUUCAGCAUCUCCCCUAGAUAGCUGAAACCCCUUCAGAAAGACUGGAAUAUUUUCUAGAUAAUAAAUCUGGGUCUUUAUCUUUCCCUUUUCUUCUUUCCCCUCUUCCCUUUGCCCCAUCCCUGAACUUCCCCCUCUUCUUGUGUUUUUGUCCAUAAAAGAGCAGCUUCUGUCAUUCAUGUGACAAUGAGCCUCCUUAGGUAAUUAAAGGGGAGUCUGCAGCCUGAACUACAAGUGAGAGGUCAUCUUUUUCAGCUUAUAGUCCUACCUCUACUGGGAGUGUGAUUCUGGGGACAAGAAGGAAGAAACGGUGCCAAAGCGCAUGGAUGGCCAAUUGUGCGCCUGGCUCUUCCAUGUGGAGUAGGCAGUGGGGCUGCUUGGAGCACACUUAGUGUUUGCCCUCCAGAUUUUUCCAGUCUCCUCAUAGAUGACCCAUGCCUGAUCUAGAAUAGGGAGGCAGGGUUUUAGAUUUAACUAGAAGUCUUCAUUUGUAUUCUUCCCAGAAGCAGACCCUGAGAUGAGGGUUCUGGGAAAUAAGGAGAACAGCAGUUGGGAAGAGGAGAACAAAGCCAGGGGAUGACUAGAGCUUAAUCCUUUGGGGAAACUCUGGGUAACAGCACAGAACACACCUCAGAGUUAUCUUCCUAAGGUGCCAGAUGAGGGAGUUGAGGUAUUUAUACACCCUCUCCUGAGACUCAUGGGUUGAGGGCUGCUGGAGGCUGCGAUGACAAUGCCCUGACACAUGGGCCUGCUUCCUGGGGGCAAAAGCCUCAGGCACAGACAUACAUACACUGGGGUUUGAAGUUGAUUGUUACAUACUGUAAUAGUAACAUCCAAGCAAUACUAGCAGGGCACUGACAGCAUCUAAUACAGUUUUUUUUUUUUUCACUAAAAUGCAAAGGAAUGUUUGCAUUUCUUUAUCAGAAGAAGGAAAAGAAUGCCAGUCUUCCCAUUUUGAUGGUUGUGCCCACAAGAACCAGCAGAGCCUGGAAGGACAAUAUGCUUGGUAGUGGGAUCAUUUGGGGCUAGUGAGGGGGCAGGGUCUCGGGAAAAAGGGCACGGUGCCUGGUGAAGGGAGUCAUUCUGGGGGUGCUGCAGUGAUGAUGCUAGUGGCAGCUGUGCCCUUGGCAAUGGGAGUGGGGGUCUGCUACUGCAGUGAACCCUGAAAGCAGUAGGGAGGUGCUUCUUUAUAUCCCUUAGAGACUUCAGCAAAAAAUAUCCUUGAAUAAGGCUAGGGUAGGCAAGGGAAAAAUGGCAGGCACAGCAGUGGACUCAGCUUGAUUGUGAAGCCCUUUCUUAGGCUCUGUAUGGGGCUGGAAAUACCACAUGUGUCCUGUUUGGUGGGGAGGGGUCCUGUUGGGUGGAUAAGUGAUGCUCAGAGCAUUUCUAGGGCAGGAGUUGUCAAACUUUUUCCUGCUAAAUAUUAUAGGCUUUAGGGGUACUACUGUCUCUGUUGUAACUACUCAGCUUCCCUAUUGUAUAUCAAGAAAUGGUCACAGACAAUAUGUAAGGAAUGCGUAUGGCUGUGUUCCAUCACAACUUUAUUUAUGGAUGCUGAAAUCAGAAUUUUAUAUAAUUUUCAUGUGUCACAAAUUUUUUUUUCUGAUUUUGUCCAUUCAUUAAAAAAUGCAAAACCUAUUUUUACCUUGUGAGCCACACUGAAACAGGCUGUAGGCUGAAUUGGGCCCGUGAACUGUAUUUGCAGACCCUUGUUCUAGGGCUUCUCUCUGACUUGGGCUCCAGGGUUAAGGGCAGAUUUCCAACCGAUUCUUGACAGCGUAGGAGGGGCAAACCUCCUCCUCACUCCAGUGAGAUAAGUGACUCAUCCAAUAAUGGCAAAGACUCAAAAGCAAGGAGAUAGAACCUCAUGUAUGCGUGGACAUUUAACUGGCUCCGGUGAAGGCUUGAAGCCCUAUUUGCUAAGCUUCUGCUCAUUUGCUGCUCCAGAAAGUGACAGCCUGCAUGACCAGUCCACAGCCUGUUACUUUGGGGAUUUUACAGGGUUCAUAGAGUAAAGAGGAGACUUUGGGUAAAUACAGAUCAAAUAUUUGGGUGACACUGGUAGAGUGAAAAGGUAGACUUUUAAGCCACAUCGCCUUGCACGCAGCUUCCAGCUCUGCCAUUUACAGCCUAGUAAUCUGAAUCAAGACACUUAAUUACUCUGGGUCUCAGUUUCCUCAUCCAUAAAAUGAGGAGCAAUAAUAACCCCCCUUUUAGGCUUAUUAUGAGGAUAAAGUAAGACAAUACGUGAAAUGACCUUGGAUCAAGCUCAGCUUGGCAUCUCAUCUUUACUUAAUGGAUGGUUUUAAAAUUAUUUUUAAUGCCAACUUCACAAAGUUGUGAUAGAAAUUAAAUGAGAUAAAUGUGUAAAGGGCUCAGGGACAUAGUAUGUGUUAAGAAAAUUAUUGCUACUAUUAAAAAUAUGAUGGAGAAAAAAAGGUUAGGUAUUUCUCCAUCUUCUCUUUGGGAUGAUGGCUCUCAAGAGGUGGGAAGAGGAGGACAAUGGCACCUGCAUAAUUUUGAUUGCAGGAUAUUUGUAUUCUUUCCCUUUCUGAAGUUCCUGAAUAGCAAAUGUUUUUGACAGCAAUUGGGUCUGGAUGCCACGUUUUGAAGCCCAACUAACAAACAAGAGAUUAUGAGACUGCAGUUAUCUUUUACCAGCUGCGUGGAAAAAUCCUGUCAUUUGGCAUCACACAACUAUGAAUUCUUUUAUCUCUUUCUCCCUUCUUAUGUGCUCCUGGAGCAUAUGUAAGCAAGCUCUGACAUUGAUAACACAUUCUUAUUAACCAUUAUCUGAAAGAUGGGAUGCCAACUUAGGAGUUUUGCAUUGCAUAUCAGAUGGAAAUUUCCAUUGGGGAAUGGAAUGUUAUCCACUCCUGGCCAAUGACAUCCCAAGGCUGAAGUUACCUUCUACAUACACCAUAGUCUGAGGUCAUGAAUUGGCUAGAUUUCUGCCCAAAUCUUUGCCUACUCCUUCAGAAGGAAAUGGAAUAUGAGGCAACUAUGGGCACUUAGAGGGAACAGAAAGUUGAUUUUCUGUCAUAUAAACGUUAGCUUCUUAGGCAGUGUAGAUGGAGCAGGUGACUGGAGCCAGAGGGAUGGGGUUGUGCUUGUAGAAAGGCCAAAUGAACAGGCUGAGUGGAGACCCUGUGGGGGCCCCUGAGAUGCACCCUUUAAUAUUCAUCCCACUCCAUGUGGUCAGUCUAAGCACAUCAUGUAAUUCCCAUUUUCCUUGACAGAAAUUGGUUAAGUAAAGGGCAUGUUAUCCACUCCUGGCCAAUGAGAUGAGGAAAAGCCUACAGUACGUGUGUGUGUGUUGGUUGGGGGGCAGUCUGGGGAAAGUUUAUCUUCUGUGAAGAAGGAACUCAGAGAGAGAGUGCCUUUUCGCCCUGUGGACUUUGCCAUGAGCGCCUGGUGCUAAGGUGUCAUCCUGCUAUCAUCCCUCUGAGAGACCAGCAUCAAGUAUUCCUGAAAGGCAAGAGGGAUGGUUCCUGGAUCCCUAAGGACAGCAUUGCCUGGCAGCUGAUCUCUACUUGCCUUCAAAUUAUAAUAUCUCUGUGCUUGCUCAUUGUUGAAGUCAGUUUGAGUUGGAACUCUGUUCCUUGUAACCAGAAGGAUCCUAUCUGGGGGCCACAUUUUUGACAUUGGAAUAUCACCAAGGUGAGAAAUAAGGGAAGGGUGUGCACUAGGCAUUUAGAAGAGGGGAGCGGCUGGGCACUUUUAAUGGGUUAGUGUGAAACAUACCUUGUACUCUAUCUGGAGCAUCCUAUAUUAAUUAACUAACUUAUUAAUGAGCCUGUAUAAGGCACCUACUACAUGGUCAGCAUAGGGACAGGUCUUUCUGAGAAUAAAAGAGUCAUAUAAAACAUCAUUCUAGUUGUCAAGCAUCAUAAAAUUUAGUUGGUGGAGACAAGACUAGAAAUAAAACAAAAUAAGUGGUUUAGAGAAGGGCGUGAUGAGUGAGUGCUAGAGUAGGUAAAAGCUUCGUGGGAGAUGGAGAAAGCUAAGCUGGGCCUUAAUCAGCAGAAAGAAUAAAGGUGAGGACAUAGAGACGUUAAGUCACAUGCUCCAACACAGCCAGAAAGUGGCAGAGCUGGGGUUCAAACCCAGUAUGUCUGACUCCUUCCAACCCUGGGCAUGUAACUACUAUGCUGGAGCAUACUUAUGCUCCCAAUGUGUAUUUGUAAGCCUGGAAUGCUCAUAUAUUAAUUUAUAAUGAGAAAUAGAACUGGAAAACAUUAUGAAUUCAAAAUCUGUGAAGCCAAGUUAUAUUCAGAAGGUUCCCAAGGCAGCUUGAAGCUGAUUAACAGACAGGAUAUCCCUGACACCAGGAUGGAGGCAUGUGUCUUGAAGGGCUAGUCCUUCUCUUCCUGGCUAGGUACUGGUAAGAGAAUGGCCAGUUUUGGAGUCUUGGGGCUCCCAUUUAAAUGCUCCAGGCUGUUCCUAAAGUCCUUCUUCAGUCAUGGUGUAAGUCAACUGGUCAGGCCUCUAGGUGUUCAUUAUGUUCACAUUUAAUUCAGUGGUGUACUAGCAAGUGUUUAACAAAUGGCUCUCUGGGGCACUGGGGGAAGCCCUAAUUUGUAACAUUCACCAAGUCAAGUUCCAUGGUGUAAAUACUCCCUCCAAGACUAUUUCAAGCUACCAGCAGGAAGAGAUGCACACAAUCAAUGGCUCUUGAGUGCUGGUACCGGCAGGCUCCAGCACACCACUGUGCUCACAUUGCAUCCUGCCUCUCAGAGCCUUCCCAGAUGCCUUGAUGGGAAUUAUGGAAUGUUCUCAGACUUUUGUAGAACAUUUACCAAAUUAGUCACAGCCAUGUGUGUGAACUUUUUCAGUUUAAUUAUUGGAAAAUGGCCUCACUUCCAAAUUCUUGGAGAACACUGUUUUUACCUUCAUGUACCGUCAACUAAUAGAGCUGUAAGGUGGCCAAAGAAACCAAAGAUGGAUUUCCUUUCUGUAUUGCCUAAAGUCCAGAGUUCUGUUAAAAAUUACUGUCAAGAGUGAGGCUUGGGGUCUGUGCUGCACUGAGUAAUACCAUGGGUAGCAAUAGAUAAAUUGGCACAGAAGAAUCUUCUACAGCACCACCGCCAUUCACCCCCUGCCUCACUUUGCUGUCUUACCCAACAUUACAUGACAGAAAAAAGAAAUUGUGUUGCCUAGUAACAGCUCUGAGCAAGGGGAGACCAGUCAAUACAAUUCUGAAUUAAGGCAACAUCCACAAAAAAAUCCAUCUUGAGGAUUUAUACGAAAACCAAAGUGUAGUUAUAGUCUUACAAGCUGGUGGAGAAGUCCCAUUAGCUUUGGGUAUUGGAUUAUUUAGAAUAAUAUAUCUGAGAUAUAGAUUUCUUUUUCUGGGAAGAAUAAUCUACUCUGAGGCCAUGAAAAUCAAUAGGCCACUUUGAAGACUGACUUCAGCUGUUAUUGGUAAUGUUUUGGUUGUGUUUGUGAAUCAACAAUCAAGCAAAAAUAAGGCCAUUUAGUAGCUCACACUAAAGAGCACUACUUGUCAAUUUUGCAACGAAGCCUCUCCAUCCAUUGAAUGAAACAGCAUCUCCCAAGGGCUGCUGUGAGCCUAUGGAGACCCUGAAAGCUGACACCAGCACAAAGAAUUAAGGAUAAGUCUUCCAGGGUGGCCAGUCAUCCCAGCAUAUUGAGACUGAGGAGUUUCCCAGGAUGCUGGACUUUUAAUGCUAAAACUAGGAAACUCCUUGGCAAACUGGGACAGUUGGUCGCCCUGGAUCAGUGGUUCUCAACUGCAGAUGAUUUUGCCCCUCAGGUAGGGUUGCCAGAUAAAACAGAAGAUACUCUGUUAAGUUUGAUUUUCAGAUAGACAAUGAAUAAUUUUUCAGUAUAAGUAUGUCCCAACUACUACAAUGGGACACAUUUAGAGUUAAAAAGAAUUAUUCUUUGCUUGUCUAAAAUUCGAAUUUAACUAGGCUUUUAACAUUUUUUAAAAAAUUUUUUUUGUAAAACUGACAGUCUUACCCCCAGGAGAUAGUUGGUAAUGAUUGGAAGCCUCUUCGGUUUUCACAACCACAACUUCAUCAGGGAUGCUACUAGCAUCUAGUGAGUAGAGGCCAGGCAUGCUGCUAAACUUCCUAUAAGGCACCAAUGCAGACAACAGCUGCCUAAAACAAAGAAUUAUCUGGCCUGAAAUGUCAGUGGUGCAGAGGUUGGGAAAUCCUGCCGUAGACCUAAACAAGCUGGUGCCACGGAGCUCCAUCUUCCUUGAGAAAACACUAAAGGAUGGACGUGGGCUUCCCUGCUUCAUGCACACAGAUGGAAAAAUGUCACAUACAUUCCUGACCUUUAACACUUUCAGUCUGAUGCGUCAAACAGCCAUUGGGAGCUUAAGAAGUGUCUAGCAAAAUGGGACAAUUCCCCUUGCCGGACUCCCCCUUCCACACUUGGAAGGGUGAGGCAGUGUGUGUCAUCAAACAAUAGAGCAGAUAAAAGCUGAAUCAGGGUGGUCUCCAGGACACCCCCAUCUCCCCAGACUUCUAUGGUGACAUUUCUUGCACUCCUCAAGUUUGUUCAUGGCUUUGAAAACACAGUUUCAGAAUGUCUUCAUUGUUUCAUACGGUACUGGCCGCGCCUGGAGUUUUCCUGAAGGAAACUGUAGCAGCAGGAAUUUUGUGCAAUACUAUAAUAAGGGGGCUUUAUCCUUCCAAAAAUACAUCCUUUCUCCUUGUUGCCAGCUCUCCCACAGCCCUGUGAAAAAUGUAGCUCAGAAGUUACUGAGGCGUUUUUCUGUUUUUCCUUUCUCACUUUAGUUCAUAUCAAGCAACAGAAAGCAAUUCUAUUAUUCACACUUAGGCGUGCUAGCUUGAAUGAAUGAACAAAUCAAAUAUCAAUCCUUUUCUCAUUUCCCUAGUGUGUAAGAACUGAAAUGUAGAAAGUGGCAUCUGCUUAAAAGGAAUUGGUGAAUUUGACUUCUCUAGGUACCUUAUCCAAGUGGAAUGAGUGUUUAAUGGGCACAGAGUUUCAGUUGGGAAGAUCGAAACGUUCUGGUAGAUGGAUGUUGGUGAUGGUUGCACAACUAUGUGAUUAUACUUAAUGUCAUGGAACUGUACACUUAAAAAUGGUUAAAAUAGUAGAUUUUAUGUUAUGUAUAUUUAAUCACAGUUUAAAGAAAGGAAUUGGUGAUGCAUGUCUAUGCAUGUAAGUUUUGAUAUAUGCUUGCUGAUUGAUUAUUUAUCUAAGGUCUGUUUACAUAUUUUCCCCCAGUAAACUUGGUACUUGCCUCAUUGUCCUGUAUCCUUAUCCUUAAAUUAAUUGGACAAUGCCUCUUUCUUCUUCUCCCUCUUCUUAACUCCAGCAGUCACAUGAAGAUAGAAAUAUAUUUUGUCUUUGGAAGUUACUCUUUUUUAAUUUUUUAAUUUUUGUGGGUACAUACAUAGUAGGUGUAUAUAUCUAUGGGGUACAUAAAAUGCUUUGAAAUAGGUAUGCAAUGCAUAAUAAUUACAUCAUGGAAAAUGGGGUAUCCAUCCCCUCAAAUAUUUAUGUUUCAUGUUAUAAUCCAAUUAUACUCUGGAGUAUACGCUGAGUACUCCAAAUGUACUCAAUAGUACAAUUAAAUUACUACUGACUAUAAUCACCCUGUUGUACUACAAAAUACUAGGUCUUAUGCAUUAUUUCUAACUAAUGUUUUUGUACUCAUUUACCAUUCCCCCUCCCCUUCACAGUCCCCCAUUACCCUUCUCAGCCU
rnacentral:lncRNA from 1 species